AAAUGGAAAUUUGCUUAAUUGCACCACAUGUGUUUUUCUUUGAAACAAACUUGCUUUGGCGGUGGGCCCAGCCUGCCGCCAGAGGUCUAAACUUACAACCAAUUUUUUAUCAACUUGUCACACCAGAUUAUUACUAAUAGUCAAAACUUUCAACAACGGAUCUCUUGGUUCUCGCAUCGAUGAAGAACGCAGCGAAAUGCGAUACGUAAUAUGAAUUGCAGAUAUUCGUGAAUCAUCGAAUCUUUGAACGCACAUUGCGCCCUCUGGUAUUCCGGAGGGCAUGCCUGUUUGAGCGUCGUUUCUCCCUCAAACCGCUGGGUUUGGUGUUGAGCAAUACGACUUGGGUUUGCUUGAAAGACGGUAGUGGUAAGGCGGGAUCGCUUUGACAAUGGCUUAGGUCUAACCAAAAACAUUGCUUGCGGCGGUAACGUCCACCACGUAUAUCUUCAAACUUUGACCUCAAAUCAGGUAGGACUACCCGCUGAACUUAAGCAUAUCAAUAAGCGGAGGAA
rnacentral:rRNA from 1 species